GGAACAUGCUCUCUUCAGAAACCUUAUUUCCAUCAACAUUUCAAAACCCUAAUUUCAACUUCUUGCCUCUCGAACCUUUCCCUCCUAUGAUCCCUAAAGAAGAAAAUGGGUUAUUGCUGGGAGGGAAAGAGGAUAUGGAAAGCGGGUCUGGGAAUGAACAACAAGCUGAAGACAAGCUUGGGAAUGAACAGAACAGCAGUGAGCAGCCCCUCAAGAAGAAACGUUACCACCGACACACUGCUCACCAGAUCCAAGAAUUGGAAGCUGUUUUUAGGGAGAGUCCCCAUCCAGAUGACAAGCAAAGGAUGAGAUUAA